ACGAACGCUGGCGGCGUGCCUAACACAUGCAAGUCGAGCGAGGAGAUCCUUCGGGAUGAUCCUAGCGGCGGACGGGUGAGUAACACGUGGGCAACCUGCCUCAUAGAGAGGAAUAGCCUUCCGAAAGGGAGAUUAAUACCUCAUAACAUUGCAGUUUCGCAUGGAACAGCAAUUAAAGGAGCAAUCCACUAUGAGAUGGGCCCGCGGCGCAUUAGCUAGUUGGUGAGGUAACGGCUCACCAAGGCGACGAUGCGUAGCCGACCUGAGAGGGUGAUCGGCCACAUUGGGACUGAGACACGGCCCAGACUCCUACGGGAGGCAGCAGUGGGGAAUAUUGCACAAUGGGGGAAACCCUGAUGCAAGCAACGCCGCGUGAGUGAUGACGGCCUUCGGGUUGUAAAGCUCUGUCUUCAGGGACGAUAAUGACGGUACCUGAGGAGGAAGCCACGGCUAACUACGUGCCAGCAGCCGC
rnacentral:rRNA from 1 species